ACCAAGAAAGCUUCACUGAUGUGGGCUCACCUCCUCCAGAGACAACUGUGUCACUCUCAGGCAACUCCCGCCGUUGGAACAAUGUCCGUCUUUCUACCUGAAAUCCGUGGGCAGCAUAGACAGUACAAGCCUUUGAAGACAGACUGGAAGUUGGAUGCCCUCUGCUUCUGAGGGCUGAUAAUUGGCUUCCAUUCUGGCCAAGCUGGAGGUUGGUAGCAGGCAGCCACUGCAGGCUAGCUUGGGCAUGGUCUCACGCGGAUGGCGGAGCACCAGAAGGUCGGUUCCAGUGUGAAAAGCCCAUUUUAAGCUUCUGCUCAAACAUGUCUGCUAACAUCCCAUUGGCCAAGGCA